rnacentral:rRNA from 1 species
UACGAAGGGGGGCUAGCGUUGCUCGGAAUCACUGGGCGUAAAGCGCACGUAGGCGGCUUUCUAAGUCAGGGGUGAAAUCCUGGAGCUCAACUCCAGAACUGCCUUUGAUACUGGAGAGCUUGAGUCCGGGAGAGGUGAGUGGAACUCCGAGUGUAGAGGUGAAAUUCGUAGAUAUUCGGAAGAACACCAGUGGCGAAGGCGGCUCACUGGCCCGGUACUGACGCUGAGACGCGAAAGCGGGGGGAGCGAACAGG